rnacentral:rRNA from 1 species
AGUGAACGCUGGCGGUAGGCCUAACACAUGCAAGUCGAACGGCAGCACAGUAAGAGCUUGCUCUUACGGGUGGCGAGUGGCGGACGGGUGAGGAAUACAUCGGAAUCUACUUUUUCGUGGGGGAUAACGUAGGGAAACUUACGCUAAUACCGCAUACGACCUACGGGUGAAAGCAGGGGAUCUUCGGACCUUGCGCGAUUGAAUGAGCCGAUGUCGGAUUAGCUAGUUGGCGGGGUAAAGGCCCACCAAGGCGACGAUCCGUAGCUGGUCUGAGGGGAUGAUCAGCCACACUGGAACUGAGACACGGUCCAGACUCCUACGGGAGGCAGCAGUGGGGAAUAUUGGACAAUGGGCGCAAGCCUGAUCCAGCCAUACCGCGUGGGUGAAGAAGGCCUUUGGGUUGUAAAGCCCUUUUGUUGGGAAAGAAAAGCAGCAGGUUAAUACCCCGCUGUUCUGACGGUACCCAAAGAAUAAGCACCGGCUAACUUCGUG